GAACAGUUAAGAUUUUCACAAAUUUGCUCUCUUGAAAGGUUUGCAUUUACUUAUAUUCACACCAGCAAUAUACCUGAGCACUCAUUUUUUUUUAACUGAAAUAAUUAAAGAUUAAAAACAGGGCAUCAUUACUUUUCCAUGAGAGUCUUUUGAGCAACAAGAAUGGCUAAAUGCCAGAACUGGGAUGGGCAGUUAGUGGCACAUGAAUGCAGGCAUGAAGUGCCAUGCUCAGGCUAGGAAAGAAAGUUAAGAGGCACUUUACAGAGUCAGCUUCGAAAGAUGGAUAAAUAAGACUUAGAAAGGCAGAAGAAACAGUGUGUGAAAAAAGUACAAAGAAAUAACAAGGUGUUCUUGUGGCAGAGAAGGGUUUGUUAGAACAAGAGGUUUAUUGAUGGGAAUCAUGUGUGUGAUAUUGAAUUUUAUGUCAACUUGACUGAGCUACAGCAUGCCCAGGUAUUUGGCCAAUAUUCUGGGUAUUUUUACAAAGGUGUUUGUAUGAGAUUAACAUUUAAGUUGAUAGACUGAGUAAAGCAAAUUGCAUUCCCUAAUGUGGGUUAACCUCAUCCAAUCGGUUGAAGGUCUGAAUAGAAACCUUCAACCUUGCCUGUCUGCUUUUGAACUGGGACACUGUUUUUUUCCUGCUUUCAGGCUUGAACUAAAACAUCAGCUCUUUCCAAGUCUUGAGCCUUCCAGCUGGGACCACAAUUCACACAUGGAUGCUCCCGGGUCUGCAGACCACAGACUGCAGAGCUUGGAGACCAGUGUAAGAAAGAAGCCAUGUCCAAGGCGUGCCAUCGUUACCCCAAAGACAAGGCAGAGAAGGGAGACACAGCCCAGGAGGAUGGUACUUCCAGUCGGCCUCCGCAGAGAGCUCAAGUUGGAAUGCACCCCUUAUUCAGCGCUUUGCACACAUGCAUAUGGACGGUCAGUGCUUAACAUGUGUAGACGUUGGAGUCACAGCUUUCCACGUUAA
rnacentral:lncRNA from 1 species